AGAAACACUCACAAACACCCGGCCGGGGCCCGAGCUACCGGGGGGGCAUCGCCGCCGGCCCGGGCACCGAUCCUCCUGGCGGCGGGGGCGUCCCUCCCUGCGGCUUGGUGGUGUCGGCCUGGUGGAUGGAUGGAUGGAUCGCACACCUUCUCUCUCCGGGAGAGGCCGGACGCUACGCCCGUGUCGGCGUGAUUUUCUGCGGAGUCAGAGCGGCACCCGUGGAGGUGGAGGUGGAGAAGGUUCCCGGCGGGAUCGGAUUGGAAUCGUGUCGGGGAUGCAUUUAUUUCUGGAAAUCUGCGGUCUUUCCUGAACCUCCCUGUUUGGUUGGCCGUGGUUUGGAUUCCUCCCGAACUGUCGGGAGACAGACCUGCAGGCGACGCUGUGGGAGCGGGCGGCCGGCCCGCGGGUCCGCGCCCCCCUCGAGCGUGGGUGGAGCCGAGCGCGCGGGAGGCGCCCGCCGCGACCCGGACCCCGGCCGCCGGGCGAGCCUGGGGCCAGCCGCCUGCCGACCUCGCGGACCUCGCCUCCUGGGAGACUGUGCGGGCCCGGGCCGGGCCGGGGUCCGGAUGCGCCGAGGGGACCGGGCUCCGUGGGGUCGCUGGGAACUCGUAAAGCCUCUAGGUGGCUCCGCGGUUCUUUUAAGUUUGUUUGUGCGAAUUACAAGGGGGCUAUUCUUCGGGUAAAGAGUGCGAGUAGGUAAGCGAUUUUUUACCGAACGGGGCGGUGUUUGCGUGGCGUUUGCAUGAGCUUAGUUGUCAUGAUAACGUUCAUUGCGAAGGGGGACAUUUUGCCUGCAGGUUAUUCCUUUUGCCUCCAAAAAAAAGAGAGAAAAAAAACCGCUGGCGGGACUGGAUCAGAUCCUGUCCCCGAGGCCCGCCCGUGGCUGGGCAUCCGGCGGGGAGGAGGAGCCCGGCUUCCCCCGGUGCCCUCGGGGCCGGCGCCCUCGCCUGCAGGUGUUUGCCCUGCUGGCACCGGGGCUUCCGCGGCCCCCGGUGAACCCGCAAGUCCCCUGUCCCCCUCCCCCAUUUUAUCCUGCAGGCCUGCGCCUUGUGCAGGGUUAUCAUCUGUUUUCCCCAACAGAGCCUGAGCUCCCCGCGGAGGAAAGGUUUUGUUUUCCUCCUCUGGUGUUGUGUCGAGAAAAUGUGCCGAGAAUAAUGGCGGGCACACAGAUACUUAGUAUUUGGUGAAUGAAUGAAUGAAUGAAUGAAUGAGGCAUGACCGCCUUGCUCCCCCCAACACCCCUCCCCAAUUUCUGAACUCUGUUCCUUAGUAUAUAAUUAUAUGUACUUAAAUGCUACAGAUAACUUUAUGAAAGAUAUGUGGAAAUUGAAAAAAAGAAGGAAAAAUGCAAGUUUAUUACAGAGUUCUAGAAAAAGGCACUUUCUGGCCAUUUGGAAAACCCUCCACGACACCAGAAGCCCACAAACCAGCGGUUUUUGUUUUGUUUUGUUUUCUUUAGGUUUCUGUAAAUGGGCUUGCUAGAGAGGACAGUGGAUGGAGCGCAUGAUCAUAUCCUGGGCCCAUUAGCUUUGCUCUCUUCCUAAAUCACAAGCUGGGUCGUUCAUUCUGUCUGCCCUUUUUCUCGCAAAAGACAUGCUAUUUUCACUAAAGUCUGUGUGAAUUGGUUGGCUUAGCUCAAGUACAGCACUACCGGGAAAGUUCAUUCAGCAAGUAUUUAACGGGCACAAAGUGAGUGCCAGUCACAGUGAUUCAAAAGGUGUGUGCUUCUGAGGCCUUGUGUAAAGGAGCACAUAUGGCUACACUGGUGACUACUCAAUUACGCUGUCAAGCCAAGCAAAUGCUAGUGAGAUUUAUUUUUACAGUUUCCUUCAGAAGAAAAGGUUCAGUGAAAGCCCAGGUCAGGAUUAGUGUGGAUAUUUUAAUUCACCUUUUAGCUUGCUGCUCAUUUACAUUUACUUUAUGAAAGCACUAGGUAUACCAAUAAGUUAAUUGGUAAUUUUUGAAAACUAUGAGACAAAUUUGAGAAUUUUUACUUUCUAGUAGCUGGAAAAACAGACCUUUUAAAUAAAAUAAGUAAGUAUGCCAGCAAACUAGAACCUGCAAUAAGCCCUUGGCUGUGAUAUAACAAUCACAUUUCAUUUAUGGAAUUUUGGGACAAGAAAAGACAGUCUUGAUAGUUAUUUUAUAACCACUAAUACAUUUAAUUAGACACUGUUUCGUAAAAUAGCCUGUUAAUUAUAAGUUUACCCAGAUUAAUCUUGCAGAACAGCUUUGUCUUACACAGAUGUCUUUUCACUCAGUUUAAAAUACUAAAAUUUCAAUUUGCUUAGGGAAACACAAUUAUCUUCCUAUAUAUACUUAUACUUUUUUAAAUGUUCCUGGUAAACUUAUAAUUUCGCAGAUCCAGGUAACCAAAGUCUUGACAUUAUUGUAGCAUUUACUUUAAAAUUUUAGAUACCUUAUUUUUCAGUUUCUUCCCUCACUAUCAGAGACUUACUAGGUGCUCAUUAGCUUUAUGACCAACACCUGCUAUACAUUAGUGACUGAAAACGACAAGAUCUCUCUGCCUUUAAAGUUUUAAGUUGUGCAUAGUUUAUACCAAUUUUUUCCAGAUCAUGCAAUUGAAAACAUUGUUUCCAUGCAUAUCAGGAUAUUUAUCUAUUAAAUCAAUGUGUCUUACUUUCCUAAAUUUAAGUAUCCAAGUUGAGAUCUUGUGUAGAAUCUAUUAAUUUAAUCUUAGUGUUUUCUUGAUUUCACUGUCUUGUUUCUUGGUUGGGGGAGGGGGGGUUGCUUAAUAAUUGUUUUUCUCAACCUUAUCCAUUUAUUCUGCUCUUACAUUUUUAAAACUUUUUCUAAAAUCAGUUGAUUUAUGGUGGUCUUUUAUCCUUGAUUUAUUCAUUCUUAAUUUGUAGGGCAGCCCAAUCAACCUUUCAUCUGAUUUGAUAUUCCCCCCAUUCUUUAAGUACUGAAUUAUACUACUCAUUUUAUUUGCCAGGGUAAACCUGGAUAGUCCCAUGUAUUCUUGAUCAAUAGAUUGCAGAAGAUUUAAUAAAAUAUUUUAAAUGGAUUUUAAGUAUUAACUAUUGAAUGUAGUCAGCUUGGUAUAAUUGACAAAUUAUGAAUUUUUAUUGAUAAUACUUAACAUUAAGAGAAAUCAAUUUGUCAAAAAAUGAUAGAAAUUAAAAAUUUUAGAAAAUAAUUUUCUUCUCACUAUUUUAUGCUAACAAUUCUAUCUUUUAUUAGUGAUAAAAUAACUCUUAUAAGAACAAAAUUUAAAAAUAUAGUGAAAAAAGAAGUACAGGACAUGUAGUGUUUUAUUUCAUAUUUAGGAUAAUUAAGUUAUUUAUUCCAAGAAACUGAAGAGUUAAUUAUAGAUGUUGAUUUGAGGGUGAGCUACAAAAAUAUCAAACAAUUUAACAGUCUGGAAAUAAGUUCUGCAAAUUUUAAAAUGAAAUACCUUAAUCAAAUUUGUGAUAGUAUUUGUGAAGGUUAUUCAACAUAUUUUAUCCAUUUUUGUUAACAUGAUAGAAAUGAAUGUCCUUCAAGAACAAGCUUUGUCCUUUCAUUAAUCCUUACCUCUAAAUUUAUGGAUUUUAUCCAUGCCAUCCAUUUAUAAUCCUAUGACUUUCCUAUAUUAGUGUUUACAUUUUUGCAUGUCCAUGCCUUAUGUUCCUAAAUCAAAGUGACCAGUUACGUGUUAUAUUACAUUACAAGCUUCAGUGUGCAUUGGAUAGGGUAGGGCCCUCAGAAAAAUGCAUUUCUGAAAUGUAAUUUCAAUAUAUAAUUAUUUAGAGUCAUUAAAUCUUCAUGAAAGUCUAAUUUUAAUGGAACCUACACAUAUGCUGAAUUUGAACCAAAGAAUUAAAAUAUACAUGUAUUUUAGUACUAAACUAAUCUGGAACAACAUUGAUUUUUAAAUGUUUUUAUCUAUGAAGGAAGAAUACAAAAUCCAUUAAAAACAUCUAAAAUAGGUAUGAUAGGAGUGCUUAUGAUGCUCAUUUCAAAGCACCUUCUCUAGAACAGUGUUUUAAAACUGGGUCUUGUACCACGGGUCAUGAAAUAAAUAUAGUGGGUAGUAACCAGUAUUUUUUAUAUAAUAUAUAGAAAAGAAUAGAAAAUCUAAGAGUACAUCACAAACGGUAGAGUCUAUAUUUUUAAAUGUUUCAUUUAUGUGUGUGCAUGUGCUAGGUUACCUUGUAAUAUAUAGAGUUGGGCAAAAGUAGGUGUACAAUGCCAUUGGACAUUAUCUUUUGAGUUAAUAAAACUAUAGUAAUAAUCAUAGCCUGCCCAUCUUUGCAUACAAACAACUGUAAACCUACUUUUCCUCACCCCUGUAUAUUUCAUAGUAUGGAUUAUAGGCUGAAAAAAAGUGGUGGUGUUUUUUUUGUUUGUUUUUAAUCAACAGUUUAGUUUUUCUUUUACUUCCUCCCUUAGAAAAGAAGAAAGAAUACUAGAAAGUUCUGAUUGCCUGUGAAAUAGUGAGGAAUUUUAGAGAUUUGAUAAUUGAUUUCAGAAAGUUGAUCUUAAGGUAAAGUGUAGGUAAACUAUGUAGAAAUGUCAAAUAUCAUUGAAGUUGUGAGGAGGAAUUAUUUUCCCAGUGGAGCUAAAUUUAUUGUGUUUAGAUUUAUGACUGUUUUCUUAAUUGAUUUGUUGUAGCACAUCUAAUUUCAAAUGCCCAAUACAAAAUAAUAAAUAUAAGGCAAAUAAUA